rnacentral:rRNA from 1 species
CAGUCUGCAACUCGACUGCAUGAAGCUGGAAUCGCUAGUAAUCGCGAAUCAGCAUGUCGCGGUGAAUACGUUCCCGGGUCUUGUACACACCGCCCGUCACACCAUGGGAGCCGGAAAUGCCCGAAGUCAGUGGCUUAACCGAAAGGGGAGAGCUGCCGAAGGCAGGUCUGGUAACUGGGGUGAAGUCGUAACAAGGUAAC